rnacentral:tRNA from 1 species
UAGGGGUGGCUGGAGCAGCAUCGGACUUCUAAUCUGUUAGCUGGGCGGUUUAAUUCCGUCCGCCUCUAU